rnacentral:snRNA from 1 species
UCGCUUUGGCAGCACAUAUAAUAAAAUUGGAACAAUACAGAGAAGAUUGGCAUGACCCUUGUGCAAGGAUGAUACACAAAUUCAUAAAGUGUUCUAUAUUUUU